CCUACGGGAGGCAGCAGUAGGGAAUCUUCCACAAUGGGCGAAAGCCUGAUGGAGCAACGCCGCGUGGGUGAAGAAGGUAUUCGGAUCGUAAAACCCUGUUGUUAGAGAAGAAAGUGCGUGGGAGUAACUGUUCACGUUUUGACGGUAUCUCACCAGAAAGCCACGGCUAACUACGUGCCCGCAGCCGCGGUAAUACGUAGGUGGCAAGCGUUAUCCGGAUUUAUUGGGCGUAAAGGGAACGCAGGCGGUCCUUUAAGUCUGAUGUGAAAGCCUUCGGCUUAACCGGAGUAGUGCAUUGGAAACUGGGAGACUUGAGUGCAGAAGAGGAGAGUGGAACUCCAUGUGUAGCGGUGAAAUGCGUAGAUAUAUGGAAGAACACCAGUGGCGAAAGCGGCUCUCUGGUCUGUAACUGACGCUGAGGUUCGAAAGCGUGGGUAGCAAACAGGAUUAGAUACCCUUGUAGUC
rnacentral:rRNA from 1 species